ACACGGUACUAAGUGUUUCUUGAUAAACUAAUAAGCCAUUAAUUGCCUAAUACCAUAUGUGGCCACUAAAAGCUAACAAAUAAUCGUUAAAAAUGAUCUAUGAUACUCGAAACAUUUAAGACACUAAAACUGCAAAUCGGCUUAAAAGGAGUUUAUUACAGAGUCUAGGUGUCUUAUUACAAGAUGGUUAGCACAGAGGUUCUAAGUUACUAUGGUAUUACUCAGUGAAACAAACAUUACAGGAAACAAGAUACGUGGAAGAAACAUAGAA